rnacentral:rRNA from 1 species
GAGUUUGAUCCUGGCUCAGAUUGAACGCUGGCGGCAUGCUUUACACAUGCAAGUCGAACGGCAGCACGGGUGCUUGCACCUGGUGGCGAGUGGCGGACGGGUGAGUAAUGCAUCGGAACGUGUCCUAAAGUGGGGGAUAACGCAUCGAAAGAUGUGCUAAUACCGCAUAUUCUCUGAGGAGGAAAGUAGGGGAUCGAAAGACCUUAUGCUUUUGGAGCGGCCGAUGUCUGAUUAGCUAGUUGGUAGGGUAAUGGCUUACCAAGGCGACGAUCAGUAGUUGGUCUGAGAGGACGACCAGCCACACUGGGACUGAGACACGGCCCAGACCCCUACGGGAGGCAGCAGUGGGGAAUUUUGGACAAUGGGCGCAAGCCUGAUCCAGCAAUGCCGCGUGAGUGAAGAAGGCCUCGGUUGUAAG